rnacentral:rRNA from 1 species
GUGAACGCUGGCGGUAGGCCUAACACAUGCAAGUUGAACGGCAGCACAGUAAGAGCUUGCUCUUACGGGUGGCGAGUGGCGGACGGGUGAGGAAUACGUCGGAAUCUACUUUUUCGUGGGGGAUAACGUAGGGAAACUUACGCUAAUACCGCAUACGACCUACGGGUGAAAGCAGGGGAUCUUCGGACCUUGCGCGAUUGAAUGAGCCGAUGUCGGAUUAGCUAGUUGGCGGGGUAAAGGCCCACCAAGGCGACGAUCCGUAGCUGGUCUGAGAGGAUGAUCAGCCACACUGGAACUGAGACACGGUCCAGACUCCUACGGGAGGCAGCAGUGGGGAAUAUUGGACAAUGGGCGCAAGCCUGAUCCAGCCAUACCGCGUGGGUGAAGAAGGCCUUCGGGUUGUAAAGCCCUUUUGUUGGGAAAGAAAAGCAGCAGGUUAAUACCCCGCUGUUCUGACGGUACCCAAAGAAUAAGCACCGGCUAACUUCGU